rnacentral:tRNA from 1 species
GGAGGAACUCUGGCUCAGUGAUAGAGCAUCUUCUUGUCAUACAGAAGGCCCCAGGUUAAACCCCCGGCAUCUUCCG